ACGAUAUAAUGUGUUCUUUUUUAAUCGGCACGAUACAAUUUGUUAAUAUUAGUUUUCAAUUCCAACUUCUAAUUUAAUGAUGAUUUUUUAUUCCAACUUCUGAUGCUGAACUAUAAGGACCAUUGCAGACAUCACCGAGACACCGAUAGUGAGGUAAUGUUUUGUUCUUCUGCUUCAACAGUUUUUCCAGUUCUAAUGCACGGAGCUAAAUCCCCUUCUCUACAGUUUAAAAAAACAAAGACGUUACGAGAACGGAAUUAUAGCCCUUCGCUAUUCUAUGAAGAUUAAGGCUCUAUAACUUCUUGGGACUUUAACUAAUCAUGGACAAUCUAAGCGUCUAUGGCCAUCUCGACGGUAACUUGCAGAAAAUUACAAAGGUUACGUGUCUUUGAGAAAAAAAUGUAAUUGUGGUGAUUCAUGAUGAGCAAGAAAUUAAUAGUAUUUUUAUGCAUGAGGUAUGCCUACCAAUGCCAUUAUUACUUUACUCCCUCUGUACUGUAAGGGGUCAACGAAUUGAUAAAAGGGAUGUGGUGCCAUACAAUACAUACCUUUCGAGAAAAUAUAAUUCUCAUAACAAUGUGGAAGUUUGUCCUGGAAUAAAAUCUAUUAAGUAUAUCCACAAGUACAUCUACAAAGGUCAUGAUCGUACCAUGAUAGUGUUGAGAGACGAAUAAACAAGAUCUAGAAUUAAGGUAACUAUUAUUAGUCAUCAUUUUACUUUUACAAGAAGGGAUUCUUGCUCAUUAAUUAUUUUUUUAGGCUGUUAUUCAUGUUCCUAAUUGUGCUUUUUGGAUGAAGUAGAUAUGCGUUGGUACAAAAACUCUCG